CCAGGGCAGCUUCACUUGUCUUCAGGGCAGAUGGUGUCCCUACUGGGACAAAGUCUGUCUCUUCACACUGUCCUUCUGCAGGACAGCCCUUCCUCUCCCUUCAGAUGAGGCUGCCAGUAUGGAUUUGUUCUCAGACUUCCUGUCUUCUAUGUUGUCAGAUCCGCUGUCUUUGCAUUUUUCUCUCUCUACGUAAUUAUCCUGAUACCUCAGCUGUGGAUAGCAAAGCUUUACUGAUCUAGCCAAAUGGAAUCAUGUUAUGUCACAGGGCAAUUUCCUGGGAAAUGCAAGUGUGAAGACCGUUCCUGAUAAUAGAGAUCCCUCCAUGACUACAACCAGUGUUACUGAGCUACUAUAAUAUAUUAAUUCACAGUGUAAAUAAAGAAUAUAUGUAAUGCAUUAGGAUCUCAAACAAGCACUCUCUACUCAAAAGAGGCAUUGAAGUCAGUGGAACUCUUUCUGGGAAUGAGGAUUCUCAUGUGACCUCUGUAGGUUAAAACUAAUGGGCAUAGACCUACCAAAGCACUUAAGCACAUGCACCUUUAAUGAGGAUACUUGUGUGCUUAAAGUUGUGCACAGAUUAUGUGCCUUGCUGGAUCAGAGCCUUAGGUACCAUAUCUGAAUUCUCCAUCCUGCCAUAUAGAACUCUCUUAAUUUUCAAAUUAUGGCAUAUCAAUCAUAUAUAUUCUUUUCCUCCCCUAGGAUAUGAUCCCUGACUUGCUGUCCCGAACAUCCAGAUGUUCUUCUAUCUCUUUACUAGGCCAUUUGCCAAUUGGGUAUUGUAACUUUCCCGCGCUCAGUUUCUAUUAGCCAACAGUUAGUAAGUCAGCAGAAAGAGUUCUUUGAUAACACCAGCACCACUAUUUCUAGCUUGCCAGCAUAAUGUAUUUUAAUAUCGUGUACUUCAGAAUUCUGUAAAACUUUUAUUGCUCCUCUGAAUAUGCUCAGAGUAUAUUGUGACACAUGAUAAUAGCACCAAUUUCAGUAAUUCAAUCAUUCUGACUCGUGAUGAGAGGUUAAAUUGCUUUCAACUCAGCUGCUUGUAUAGUUUGUUUUCAAGUCUGUUGAAAGACUUCAGCUCUGUAACUAUAUGUUUGCUGUUUUUCCUUACUCCCAUUUAUU